GACGAACGCUGGCGGCGUGCCUAAUACAUGCAAGUCGAGCGGACGAAUCGAAAGCUUGCUUUUGAUGCGUUAGCGGCGGACGGGUGAUUAACACGUGGUCAACCUGCCCUGUAGACGGGGAUAACACCGAGAAAUCGGUGCUAAGACCGGAUAACACGAAAUGUCGCAUGACGUUUCGUUGAAAGACGGCGCACGCUGCGGCUACAGGAUGGGCACGCGGCGCACUAGAUAGUUGGUGAGGUAACGGCUCACCAAGGCGACGAUACGUAGCCGACCUGAGAGCGUGAUCGGCCAGCCUGGGAGUGAGACACGGCCCACACUCCUACGGGAGGACGCAGUCGAGACUCUUACGCGAUGGACGAGAGUCUGACGGAGCACCGCCGCGUAAGCGCAGAAGCAGUUAGGGUCGUAAAGCGCUGUUGUCAGGGAAGAACAAGUAACGCAGUACCUGGCGUUACAGUGACGGUACCUAGAGAGAAAGCCACGGCUAACUCCGUG
rnacentral:rRNA from 1 species